UUAUUAUUUAUAAAUCUUUUAUAUCAUUUACUUCUAUCCUUAAAUAGAUUAUCCUUUGAUACCUAAAUUGCUUUAAACACCUUCUUUUGAUGAUAUAUUUUAUUCAUUUAAUUUAAGACUCUUUGAUGCUUUGCUUCACUCAAUAAAUUUAUUAACUUUUUAUUUUUAUUGGAUCCUUUAUGUACUGGUCCUUCUCUUUGCCUUAAUGUAUUGAAAUGCACACUUGGAUUAUUGUUACUACUAUACAUUCUUUUGAUA
rnacentral:lncRNA from 1 species